UACGUAGGGGGCAAGCGUUGUCCGGAAUCAUUGGGCGUAAAGGGCGCGUAGGCGGCCUGCUAAGUCGGAUGUGAAAUCCCUCGGCUCAACCGAGGAACUGCAUCCGAUACUGGCGGGCUUGAAUCCGGGAGAGGGAUGUGGAAUUCCAGGUGUAGCGGUGAAAUGCGUAGAUAUCUGGAGGAACACCAAUGGCGAAGGCAGCACUCUGGGACGGUACUGACGCUGAGACGCGAAAGCGUGGGGAGCAAACAGG
rnacentral:rRNA from 1 species